rnacentral:rRNA from 1 species
UACCUACGGGGGGCAUCAGUGAUUAAUCUUGUUCAAUUUCCUAAGGGCUGAACCAGCCAAGCCGCGUGAAGGAAUAAGGCCCUACGGGUCGUAAACUUCUUUAGUCAGGGAACAAAGGGAGCCACGCGUGGCGCUGUGAGUGUACCUGAAGAAUAAGCAUCGGCUAACUCCGUGCCAGCAGCCGCGGUAAUACGGAGGAUGCGAGCGUUAUCCGGAUUUAUUGGGUUUAAAGGGUGCGUAGGCGGUUUGUCAAGUCAGCGGUAAAAAUUCCGGGCUCAACCCGGUCCCGCCGUUGACACUGGCGG